UGGUGGAGGGAAUGGUGAAGGAGGUGGUGGAACAACUGGAGACGGAUAAGGUAAGGGUGGAGGAGGGGAUGGUGGAUGAGGUGGUGGAACGGUUGGAGAUGGAUAAGGAUAUGGUGCAAAAGGUGGUUGAGGGGAUGGGGGCGGAGGUGGUGGAGGGAAUAGUGGAACGUCUGGAGAUGGCGGAGGGGAUGGUGGAGGAGGUGGUGGAACGAUCGGAGACGGAUAAGGAAAUGGUGCAGAAGGCGGUGGAGGGGGUGGAGGGGAUGGUGGAGUAGGUGGUGGAAUGGCUGGAGACGGAUAAGGAGAUGGCUCGGAAGGUGGUGGAGGGGGCGGAGACGGAGAUGGUGCAGAAGGUGGUGGAGGGGGAGAAGUAGAUGGAGGAGGUGCAGAAGGUGGUGGAGGGGGAGAAGGGGAUGGAGGAGGUGGUGGAAUGGCUGAAGAUGGGGGAGUGGGCAGAGGGAAUGGUGGAGGAGGUGGUUGAACGGCCGGAGAUGGAUAAGGAGAUAAUACAAAAGAUAAUUCCUUCGUCGGAUAAGAAGCCAAUGAAUUAAUGGCACAAACACCAUAUGGCAAAUCACCGUUUCUUCUUAUAUAUCCAUACCCCUCCACUCCCCAUGAUGUACCCCAUGAAUUCUUGAUUAUCCAGUAGUCAU
rnacentral:lncRNA from 1 species